rnacentral:lncRNA from 1 species
UUGAUUUUUGUGUAAUUAGAGCUUAAGACGAAUUUUUCAAAACAAACGAAUUCUGGUCUUCGAAUGAGCUUGUAGUAACAUCUCUAAAUUUGGCCAUAACGUCUAGGCUGGGUUUGAGGUGUUACAAUUAAGCCCGAUGAACUCUAGUGAACAUAUUUGGAUACAGGGUAACCAUACCACACCAGAUUGCUCGUCCAAGUAGUAACUUCACCACACCAGGGCACCAAAUUGUAAAGCCUGUAGGCAAUCAUAUGAAUAAUCAUAUAAUAAUACAUCUCUCCACGACACUAGGAUCUCCAUAGAGACAUAUAAUACUUGGUAAUCCAUGACAAAUGUUGGAUCUUGAUAUACACAGUAAUGAUCUCUGUAAAAUCACAUUGCCUGUACAAGCGUGCAUAUAACCCUAUGUACAUGUCAAUUGUAUCCUAAUAUUUACUAAGUUCACUUGGGCAUCUUUAACACAUAUAUCCAUUUAUUUACAAUUUAGUUCAUAUAUCACAUUUUGUACCAAUACGCAAAUAAUUCAAAUUACAACCAAACGCACACAUAUUUAUAAUUCAAAUACAUAACAAUUUAAAAUACAAUCAUACCUUAUGAACUUACCUAACAAAACUACAAGCAAUUAUAUCUUUAAGGACUAUUCCACAAUUUUGUCUUUUCCCUAUUAUCCUCAGUUUGGUUCAAUUUUCAAUCUAUACAAUUAUUCAAUUCAAUUUAUCAAUACCAAACAUUUUUAUAACAUCCCAUAAUAUACAUGAACCAGUUUAAUUUCAUUUUUUGAAUUCUCCUAAAGUUUUGAAUUAUUUUCAAUUUAGUACCUGAAACCUAAAUAACAAUAUCUUUCAAAUUUAAACUCCAGUUUCAAAACUAAUCUCAAUUACAUCCUUCUAAGACCCUCUACUAUCUAUUAUUAAAAAAAUUUCACAUUAUUUUCACAAUUUAUACACUUUGAUCCUUUUUAAUAAAACUAACAAUUAAACUUUACAAUCUAAUCUCUCUCUCUCUCUUUUACAUUUAAGCUUAAAAUCUAUCAAAUUAACACCAAUUUCUUCAAUAAAUUGAUAAUGGAAACUUUCAAAAACUUUAACAGUUUUACAAAUUGGUGCAUGGGAUAGUUAAAUCAAACUCCCAUGGCCUCAAAAUCAUAAAAAUUACAUGAAAAAGGACUUAAUAACUUACCAAUUUGAGGGACCAAAUGUUUUGAAGCUUUAAACCCUAUUCUUUCUCUUUUGUUUCAGUGAAAAAGAUGGAUAGAAGAAAAAAAUGGCCUUUGUUUCUUUUAAAUUUGUCUUAUAUAGUUUAAUUAAACUUUUAAUUAAUUAAGUAAACCUUAUUUAAUCAAAACUUAAGCUAAAUUAACAAAAUUUAGUGGGUUUUAUCAACAUCCACCACUGAUUGACCAUUUAAAAUGGUCUAAUUAUUCAUAUGGUCCUUUGGCUAUUUAAAAACCUAUAGCGGUAAACUUUUACAGUUUAGUCAUUGUACUUUAAUUAACUAUCAAUUAGGAAAAAAUAUUGGAACAAAAUUUAAUAUAUAUCUAUAUUAACCAUUUAGAUAUUAAUUUUUAUUAUUUACAAACUCGAAUUAUAGAAAUGGGGUUCCAAAACCGUCUUUUCCGACACCACUGAAAAUUGAGUUGUUACAUCUUGUGUAUUUUGAUGGAUGGUAAAAAGGUUAAUAGUAUGCAAAUGAAUUGGCUAGGUAUUAUGUACAAGUUGCAUGUUUUAGCUUGAAAUAUAAUGUUAAAACCUUAUGUUGCAUAUAUCUUGAAUUGUAAAUGUACCACUAAGCCUAUUCCUCAGCGUACGUUUUUUUUUCCGUGCACAGGUUCAAGUAUUCCUCGUGGCCCCUAGAAUUGAAGUUAGCAUCCAAAUCGCCAAUUUUGACUCAACAAAGUUUGUAUAGUUCGUUUAUUUUGUUUUUGUGGAAUGUACCUAGGGACUUUUGGCUAAAUCUUUCAAAUGUUUAAGUUGUAUAUAAUAUGAUUAUAUGCUAAUGUUUUGAAUUUGUGUUUGGAUGUGUUCAUAUAGUUGGUUUUGAGUUUUAAGAUUAAUGGUUAUGAAUUUAAACAUGCUUUGGUUGGUUUUGGAGUAUGAAUGGUUGAAGUUAGAUUGGAUAGUUGAUGUUUUGAAGAUUACUAUUUGGUAUAUUUUCACUUGAAAUCAUUUGGUAGGUUUAUGAAUUGGUUGCAGGCGAAUGUAUGUAAGGGAUUUUAGGUUUUUUUAACUUGUAACGGGCUGAAUUUGGAAGUAACAGGUUGCAACGUCGCAACGACGGACCCCUACCCUUGUGACGAGGAACAAAGUAGGGUUCUCGCAGCGACAUCGUUACUUUGAGGUCAUAACAAACUCUAUUCAAAGAGUCACACCGUAACGAAGAAACCCUGAGGUCGCAACGUUGACUCAAAAUUUUAUAUUCUUUACAAUUUGGUCCAAUUUUGAUCACGUGUUAGAAAAAAGAGCUUUUGUAAGCUCAUAUAAGCCCCGAAACUGAUAACAUAUCGUAUAACAUGCAUGGACUAUUUAGAUUUAAAUGUAUAAUGAUGUUGAAAUUGGAUUUUAUUGAUUGUAAUUGCUCCAACAACAAAUGUGGUACCCUGUAGCUAAAACUUGGCAAUCAGGUCGUGUAUAAGGGUGUUACAGCCCCUUGUUCCUAAUAUAUAGGAAAAAAUUAUAACAGUUCUACUAGAAUAGGAAGAGGGAGAAAAUAUUAUUUAAUAGAAAAUUGGAGUUUUGAUAAAACUCUGGCAGGGUGGGCAACAAACAUGAAGAGCCCCUCCCGUAAUAUGUUGCCGACUUGCCCAUUGAUUGGGCUCUCUAAGCCUUUCAUAUAUUGGGUACAAUAUAUGUGCAAUCCAAUUUUAAAUUAAAUUGUAUUAAUUUCAUUUAAUCAUCCAACCCAAUAACCAAUUUUCUAUUCCCAAAAUAUUAAUUAAUUAAUUAAUUCAAUUAUUUGUUCAAUCCAAUUCUAAUUUUAAUUCCAUCAAAGUCAUGACAAUAUUACCAUAUUAGAAUCUAUGAAUAAAUAAAUUUAAUUAUCUUAUUUAGUAUAAUGAUGACUAAUUAAUUUCAUUCCUCACUUUGAACUCCAUUAUUUAAUUACAUUCAAUUAAAAAAUAAUUCAAAGAAGUUAAUUUAACUUUUGUGUUAGCCUUGUUUUUUAAAUGUUUUGAUAUAACCAAGUUAAAUUAUAAUUUUGUGAUUAAUGAUAAAAUCCUACAAAAUUAUUUUUGAAGUACUCUCAAACUCAUAAAAAUGGUUCAACAUGUCUUCAAAUAUAUUUCAUAAGUUUGAAUUUUCAAAACACUUUGGAAAAUAUCCUAUUAAAAUCAUUUUUACAAAGAUUGAGAAACUUCCACCGAUACAAGUAUUGACUUGUAUUAAUACAAGCAAGUCAGAAAGCAACCCAAAAUCUUCAACAGAUUUCUACCGAUACAAAUGAGCCAGUGUACCGAUACAACUGAACUUCUACUUAACCUAAACCAAAUUCAACUUAAUCUUAAUACAUAUAAUAAUUAAUCUAAUAUAAUAUGUCAUCCUAAAAUUUAUUUAAAUAUAAAUAAACAAAUAUCAUGACCUUAAUCUAAAUAAAUUAACCUUAGUUAAUCCAAAUUUAGAACAAUAUGAAUCAUUAUCAUUCAAAGCAUUAAUCAAUAAUAUUCAAAUUAUGAGAAUUAAAAUAAAAGAAUAAUAUAUAUAUCACAACAAGAGAAGUAAAACGUCCUUUAAAAACCAUUACCAAUAAUGCAAAAUUAUUACUUAAAAUACUAAAACCAAAACAAUGAAACUUGACGUUAAAGCAAAUAGUGGGCAGAAAUAAAUUAAAGCAAUUAAAGUAAUAGAAGCUAAUGACGGUACUAGAGGUGCUCAUGGGCCGGGCGGCCCGGCCCGGCCCGGCCCGACUGCCCGCCCGAAAUAUGGGAGGAUUUGGGUAAAAAUAUAGACUCGAAAUAUGGGCUUGAGCAAAAAAACGAGACCCGUUUAGAAAACGGGCCGGGCCUCGGGCACCACUUUUUUGGCCCGGGCCCGGCCUAGCCCGGCCCGGCCCGAUAUAAUAAAUAUAUAUUUUUUUUUAAUUUUAAAAUAUUUUUACAUACUUUUUUAAUUUUUUUUUAAUUUUAAAAUUUUUUUUAAUUUUAAAAUAUUUUUAAAAUAUUUUUAAAAUACUUUUAAAAUACUUUUUUUAAUUUUUUAAAAUUUUUAAAAUAAAAAUGGGUCGGUCCGGAUCGAGCCCGGGCUUAUGAUUUUUUUCCCGGGCCGGAUCUAGACAAAAUCUUAUGCCCAUAUUUCUAGCCGGGCCUAGGACUCGGGCUAAAAUUUUUUAUGGACCCGGCCCAAACCCGGCCCAGCCCAUUAGCACCUCUAGACAGUACCAAGCAACUGCAAUUUAAUGGUAAUUUUGGUCGAAAAUUGGUGGGAAUUUAGAGAUCAAAACAGCGGCUAAGAUUGGAAACAAGACUGCGGCAAUUAUUUUGAUACGGAUGCAACAAAUUGAUUGACAAUGACGUAGCAAGCCGAAAAAAGUACAAUACAUUAUUCCUUAUUUAUUUAUUUAUUUAUUGUUAUGGCAAACGGAGCAAACAAGAGAGUGGUCAUGAUAACAACAGCUUGGGCGACAUCGUAACAAUUGAUGGCAGCAGUUGUAUUGGGUAAGGUCGGCGGCAGGUAGCAAGGUUUUGGAGCGGCAACGCAGCAAAAAUCGGCAGCACUUAAUCAUGCUUCCAUGAACUCCAGUCCAACACCAGUCAAGCUUGGAAAUCCUUAAAUCAUCAUUUCCCAAUUUUCAUACAAUAAAAUUCAUUCAAAAAUGAAUAUAAAUUCUUUUCAAGCUCAUAAUACUUCUCAAGAAAUAUCAAGCUAAUGGAGAUGUAGGAAGCUAUUUUUUUACCUUAUUGAAAGCUUUGUCUCACUCGUCAUAGCUUUCCCUCACUAUAACCCAUGAAACCCUAACUGAAAUUUAAGAGAUUGAUGGAGGAAAUAAGAUCAAUAGGUGAUCUUCGUUGAGAUUUUACCAAAAUUUUAGGGUGGGUAGUUGGAAUUUUGAGAGAAACCGAAGAAACAAGCAAGAAAAAUGUCUUUUGCUUGUGGCUGGGGAGAAGAGAAAUGAAGCAGAUGGGUUUUUUCCC